GGCUAGCCAUUUCACUGAAUGGAGCUUCUGGUUAUUGAGGUGCCGAAUUCAGUUUAAUGAGCCCUUCAUUUGAGCCCUUCAUUGAAAUUAUUAGUCCCAUGGCACGAAAAGUGCAGUCUAAUGAAGGCAAGAACCAUUCAUAAAAGCACCAUAUGCAGGGGUAAAGAAAAUUUGACGUUUGGCAAAAAAUACGCAUUUUUAAAACGGGAGAAGCGAGACGCGUGGGUUUGUUAUCUUACUGAUGAUGCCUGACGGAGCCAGAGAAAGGUUGAGGCUUCUAUUUUAGUAAAAAUGUCUGAAUCUGUUCGGUGGUGAA